UACGUAGGGGGCAAGCGUUGUCCGGAAUCAUUGGGCGUAAAGCGCGCGUAGGCGGCCCGGUAAGUCCGCUGUAAAAGUCCAGGGCUCAACCCUGGAAAGCCGGUGGAUACUGUCGGGCUAGAGUCCGGAAGAGGCGAGUGGAAUUCCUGGUGUAGCGGUGGAAAUGCGCAGAUAUCAGGAAGAACACCCGUGGCUAAGGCGGCUCUCUAGUACGGUACUGACGCUGAGACGCGAAAGCGUGGGGAGCGAACAGG
rnacentral:rRNA from 1 species